rnacentral:rRNA from 1 species
UACCGAGGUCCCAAGCGUUGUUCGGAUUCACUGGGCGUAAAGGGUGCGUAGGUGGUGAGGUAAGUCGGAUGUGAAAGCUCGGAGCUCAACUCCGAAAUGGCAUUGGAAACUACCUUGCUAGAGGGUUGGAGGGGGGACUGGAAUACUUGGUGUAGCAGUGAAAUGCGUAGAUAUCAAGUGGAACACCAGUGGCGAAGGCGAGUCCCUGGACAACUCCUGACACUGAGGCACGAAAGCUAGGGGAGCAAACAGG